GGGCGUCUCUAUCUCACUGCGAGAGGAGGCGCACCCAGAGCGUACACGCUGAUACCCGAAAGAUGGUGAACUAUGCCUGGCCAGGACGAAGCCAGGGGAAACCCUGGUGGAGGUCCGCAGCGAUUCUGACGUGCAAAUCGAUCGUCGGAGCUGGGUUUAGGGGCGAAAGACCAAUCGAACCAUCUAGUAGCUGGUUCCCUCCGAAGUUUCCCUCAGGAUAGCUUGCGCUCAUAUGAAACGAGUCUCAUCCGGUAGAGCGAAUGAUUAGAGGCCUUGGGGUCGAAACGAUCUCAACCUAUUCUCAAACUCCAAAUAGAUGAGAACUCCGGCUUUCUUGAAAAUUAUCUUGAAGCCGGGGGCUUGGAUCAGAGUGCCAAGUGGGCCAAUUUU
rnacentral:rRNA from 1 species